rnacentral:rRNA from 1 species
UACGGUGGGUGCGAGCGUUAAUCGGAAUUACUGGGCGUAAAGGGUGCGUAGGUGGUUAUAUAAGUUAUCUGUGAAAUCCCCGGGCUCAACCUGGGAAGGUCAGAUAAGACUGUAAGACUUGAGUAUGGGAGAGGGUAGUGGAAUUUCCGGUGUAGCGGUGAAAUGCGUAGAGAUCGGAAGGAACACCAGUGGCGAAGGCGGCUACCUGGCCUGAUACUGACACUGAAGCACGAAAGCGUGGGGAGCAAACAGG